rnacentral:rRNA from 1 species
UACGUAGGGGGCAAGCGUUGUCCGGAAUCAUUGGGCGUAAAGCGCGUGUAGGCGGCCCGAUAAGUCCGCUGUGAAAGUCCAGGGCUCAACCCUGGGAUGCCGGUGGAUACUGUCGGGCUCGAGUCCGGAAGAGGCGAGUGGAAUUCCUGGUGUAGCGGUGAAAUGCGCAGAUAUCAGGAGGAACACCGAUGGCGAAGGCAGCUCGCUGGGACGGUACUGACGCUGAGACGCGAAAGCGUGGGGAGCAAACAGG